rnacentral:rRNA from 1 species
AACGAACGCUGGCGGCAUGCCUAACACAUGCAAGUCGAACGGAUCCUUCGGGAUUAGUGGCGCACGGGUGCGUAACGCGUGGGAAUCUGCCCUGGGGUACGGAAUAACUCGGAGAAAUCCGUGCUAAUACCGUAUGAUGUCUUCGGACCAAAGAUUUAUCGCCCUAGGAUGAGCCCGCGUAGGAUUAGCUAGUUGGUGGGGUAAAGGCCUACCAAGGCGACGAUCCUUAGCUGGUCUGAGAGGAUGAUCAGCCACACUGGGACUGAGACACGGCCCAGACUCCUACGGGAGGCAGCAGUGGGGAAUAUUGGACAAUGGGCGCAAGCCUGAUCCAGCAAUGCCGCGUGAGUGGUGAAGGCCUUAGGGUUGUAAAGCUCUUUUACCCGGGAAGAUAAUGACUGUACCGGGAGAAUAAGCCCCGGCUAACUCCGUGCCAGCCGCCGCAGUAAGAC